UUUAGGGCCUCGUAUUUAGAUCUCGUACAAAUACUCAGGGGACUUAAAUAUAAUUAUGUGAUAAAGGAAGGGCCAAAUAUGUAAUAAGUGAGGAGUCCUUAUUCUAUAAAAGAAACCCUUACCCUCACAAUUAGGAGAGGCCAACUCUUAGGCUUGAAACCCUCUCACAUCCCCUCUCAUAUUACAGAGUCUCUCUCCCUUACCUCUCAGAUAAAUACAUAAUCAGUGUGGACGUAGCCCAAACUUUGGGGUGAACCACAAUACAUCUUGUGUUAUUUACUUUACUUGCAGAGUCACGGUUGGAUUUACGUUGUUCCAAGACCUUCGGUUUUGUGCAUCAACAAUGUUAAUGGCGUCAAGUUCAUAAGGGCUGCAUGAGAUGACAAGUUCUGUACAAAAAAACAACGGUGUUCAUGUCCCAGAUGAAGGUGAAAGUACAGACAUUGAAUUCUAUGGCAAACUAAUAAGUGUCGUGCAAUUGCUUUACAAACAUUGAUGCUAAGUGAUCCUGUUGAAGGGUCGAUGGUUUGAUACAAACCCAAAUAGGCAGGGAAGUGUUAAAAGAGAUCAUGGAUUACUAUCGGUGAAGACUACCAAAACUUGGUACAAUGAUGACUCUUACAUCUUAGUAAACAUGGCAAAACAAAUUUUGUAUCUAGAUAACCCUAAAGUCGGAAGGGGUUGGAAAGUUGUUCAGAAGAUGGAUCAUAGGAACAUGUAUGCUAUACUAGAACAAGACCCUACUAACGACAACAUCAAUAACAUCGCUAACCAACGUCUAGAAUCUUUUAUGGAAAUUGGUGCGGAAACACACCGAGAUACUAAUCUUAUCCAAGAACCAUUUUAGAUAUAAGGAGUAUCUUCAAUCGAAAUACCGAUUCAAUCAAUCACAAUUGACCUUGGUAAUCUUCUGCGAUACGAUGCUCCAGUGUGCACAAACAAUAAUGGUGACUUACCUAUCGAUGAUGAGGAAUGGGACAUUGAAAAUGAUGAUAGCGACGAAAGUGAAAGUUAUUAUAGUUUGGAUGAAGAUUAAUACAAUUUAUUAGUAAUUUUUUUUAUAAAAUAAAUUAAGUGGUUAAUGCAUUUUGUAUUUGAAUUACUUUGUAAAUAAAUUUGUUUUAUUAGUAUUUUAUCAUAAAUUUUAGUCAAAAUUCUACCCAAAAAAGAAAAACCAUUUUUAAACAUAAUUGUACGACGAACAAGCCUUUUUCGUCGCGCAAGUGUUUUAAUUUUACAUUGGUAAUUUUAAUUUUCAGGCACUUGUGCGAUGAAUACCUUGAUGUUGUUGCUCAAAGAACAUUUGCGCUACCAAAUCACAACAUUCGUUGUGCGAGUGUUUGAAAAUUAAGGCGUCGUUUUUUUUUUCGUGAUUUUUUUUUAAAAAAGCGUGACGAAUUUUUAAACCUUGCUCGACAAUGCCUCCAUUGCGAAAGAUUCUAUGUAUUUAUUCCCAUGUGUCG
rnacentral:lncRNA from 1 species